rnacentral:lncRNA from 1 species
AAGCUUUUGCUUAUCAUGUUUACAUCCUCUGUUCAUACUAAGACACUGUUCUGAGAGCUACUUUUUCCAAGUGUAUUGUUGCCUAAAUUUCCUUUAUUUCUUCUUCAUCCUUUCUCUUCUUCCUACAUUCUGGGAAUGAAAGGAACUUAGAAGAAAAAAGUUGAUUUUCCCCCCACCCCCACCCCACCACUAAUCCAUAGGCUUCAUUAUUUUACUUUAUAGUAAAUCUAUGACUUUUUAGAACAACAGAAAUGGAAAAAAUGAAUUAAGAUAAUGAACAAAACCUUUCACCCACUUAAACAUUUUCCAGUUGUGAGAUUUCUCUUCUUGUGUGUGGUCUCUUCCCCGUGUUACCCCUUUUCCCCUGACUAUAGUCAGUGUGGUCUUUAGGCUCAUACCAGUCUCCCCGAGACAUUCUGCAGUCAUUAUCACCUUUUUGGUUUGAAUAGUGAAAAUUUAUGUCUCCUGUUCUUAAAUUAGUGCUAGACAGAAUAUCAUUUUUAAAAGUUUUUGUGCAUUUCUGUUAUUUUCCCCUUACCUUAGCUCC